rnacentral:rRNA from 1 species
AGAGUUUGAUCCUGGCUCAGGAUGAACGCUGGCGGCGUGCCUAAUACAUGCAAGUCGAGCGAACGGACGAGAAGCUUGCUUCUCUGAUGUUAGCGGCGGACGGGUGAGUAACACGUGGAUAACCUACCUAUAAGACUGGGAUAACUUCGGGAAACCGGAGCUAAUACCGGAUAAUAUUUUGAACCGCAUGGUUCAAAAGUGAAAGACGGUCUUGCUGUCACUUAUAGAUGGAUCCGCGCUGCAUUAGCUAGUUGGUAAGGUAACGGCUUACCAAGGCAACGAUGCAUAGCCGACCUGAGAGGGUGAUCGGCCACACUGGAACUGAGACACGGUCCAGACUCCUACGGGAGGCAGCAGUAGGGAAUCUUCCGCAAUGGGCGAAAGCCUGACGGAGCAACGCCGCGUGAGUGAUGAAGGUCUUCGGAUCGUAAAACUCUGUUAUUAGGGAAGAACAUAUGUGUAAGUAACUGUGCACAUCUUGACGGUACCUAAUCAGAAAGCCACGGCUAACUACGUGCCAGCAGCCGCGGUAAUACGUAGGUGGCAAGCGUUAUCCGGAAUUAUUGGGCGUAAAGCGCGCGUAGGCGGUUUUUUAAGUCUGAUGUGAAAGCCCACGGCUCAACCGUGGAGGGUCAUUGGAAACUGGAAAACUUGAGUGCAGAAGAGGAAAGUGGAAUUCCAUGUGUAGCGGUGAAAUGCGCAGAGAUAUGGAGGAACACCAGUGGCGAAGGCGACUUUCUGGUCUGUAACUGACGCUGAUGUGCGAAAGCGUGGGGAUCAAACAGGAUUAGAUACCCUGGUAGUCCACGCCGUAAACGAUGAGUGCUAAGUGUUAGGGGGUUUCCGCCCCUUAGUGCUGCAGCUAACGCAUUAAGCACUCCGCCUGGGGAGUACGACCGCAAGGUUGAAACUCAAAGGAAUUGACGGGGACCCGCACAAGCGGUGGAGCAUGUGGUUUAAUUCGAAGCAACGCGAAGAACCUUACCAAAUCUUGACAUCCUUUGACAACUCUAGAGAUAGAGCCUUCCCCUUCGGGGGACAAAGUGACAGGUGGUGCAUGGUUGUCGUCAGCUCGUGUCGUGAGAUGUUGGGUUAAGUCCCGCAACGAGCGCAACCCUUAAGCUUAGUUGCCAUCAUUAAGUUGGGCACUCUAAGUUGACUGCCGGUGACAAACCGGAGGAAGGUGGGGAUGACGUCAAAUCAUCAUGCCCCUUAUGAUUUGGGCUACACACGUGCUACAAUGGACAAUACAAAGGGCAGCGAAACCGCGAGGUCAAGCAAAUCCCAUAAAGUUGUUCUCAGUUCGGAUUGUAGUCUGCAACUCGACUACAUGAAGCUGGAAUCGCUAGUAAUCGUAGAUCAGCAUGCUACGGUGAAUACGUUCCCGGGUCUUGUACACACCGCCCGUCACACCACGAGAGUUUGUAACACCCGAAGCCGGUGGAGUAACCUUUUAGGAGCUAGCCGUCGAAGGUGGGACAAAUGAUUGGGGUGAAGUCGUAACAAGGUAGCCGUAUCGGAAGGUGCGGC